UACGGGGGGGGGCAAGCGUUGUUCGGAAUUACUGGGCGUAAAGGGCUCGUAGGCGGCCAACUAAGUCAGACGUGAAAUCCCUCGGCUUAACCGGGGAACUGCAUCUGAUACUGGAUGGCUUGAGUUCGGGAGAGGGAUGUGGAAUUCCAGGUGUAGCGGUGAAAUGCGUAGAUAUCUGGAGGAACACCGAUGGCGAAGGCAGCCUCCUGGGCCAAUACUGGCGCUCAUGCACGAAAGCGUGGGGAGCAAACAGG
rnacentral:rRNA from 1 species